CUACACGGGUAUCUAAUCCUAUUUGCUCCCCACGCUUUCGUGCAUGAGCGUCAGUCUUUGGCUAGCAAGCCGCCUUCGCCACUGGUGUUCCUCCAUAUAUCUACGCAUUUUACCGCUACACAUGGAAUUCCACUUGCCUCUCCAAUACUCUAGCCUGCCAGUUUAAGUGGCUGGAUUGGGUUGAGCCCAACAAUUUAACCACUUACUUAACAGGCCGCCUACGCACCCUUUACGCCCAAUAAUUCCGGAUAACGCUCGCCACCUACGUAUUACCGCGGCUGCUGGCAC
rnacentral:rRNA from 1 species